AUUGAACGCUGGCGGAAUGCUUUACACAUGCAAGUCGAGCGGCAGCGCGGGGGCAACCCUGGCGGCGAGCGGCGAACGGGUGAGUAACAUAUCGGAACGUACCCAGUCGUGGGGGAUAACUAUCCGAAAGGAUAGCUAAUACCGCAUACGUCCUGAGGGAGAAAGCGGGGGAGUCGCAAGACCUCGCGCGAUUGGAGCGGCCGAUAUCGGAUUAGCUAGUUGGUGGGGUAAAGGCUCACCAAGGCGACGAUCCGUAGCGGGUCUGAGAGGACGACCCGCCACACUGGAACUGAGACACGGUCCAGACUCCUACGGGAGGGCAGCAGUGGGGAAUUUUGGUACAAUGGGGGCGAACCCUACGAUCCAGCCACUUCCGUCGUGAGUGAAGAAGGCC
rnacentral:rRNA from 1 species